CCUGCCGGACCUGACUGCUAUCGGAUUGAUACUAAGCCAUGCGAGUCUUUGUAGUAAUACAAGGCAGACGGCUCAGUAACACGUAGUCAACCUACCCUAUGGACAAGAAUAAUCUCGGGAAACUGGGCAUAAUUCUUGAUAGAUCAUAAUGCCUGGAAUGGUUUAUGGUUAAAAUGAUUCGUCGCCAUAGGGUGGGACUGCGGCCUAUCAGCUUGUUGGUGAGGUAAUGGCCCACCAAGGCGAUUACAGGUACGGGCUCUGAGAGGAGAAGCCCGGAGAUGGGUACUGAGACACGGACCCAGGCCCUAUGGGGCGCAGCAGGCGAGAAAACUUUGCAAUGUGCGAAAGCACGACAAGGUUAAUCCGAGUGAUUUCUGCUAAAGAAAUCUUUUGCCAGUCAUAAAACCACUGGUGAAUAAGGGGUGGGCAAGUUCUGGUGUCAGCCGCCGCGGUAAAACCAGCACCUCAAGUGGUCAGGAUGAUUAUUGGGCCUAAAGCAUCCGUAGCCGGCUUUGUAAGUUUUCGGUUAAAUCCAUGUGCUCAACGCAUGGGCUGCCGAAAAUACUGCAUAGCUAGGGAGUGGGAGAGGUAGACGGUACUCAGUAGGAAGGGGUAAAAUCCUUUGAUCUAUUGAUGACCACCUGUGGCGAAGGCGGUCUACCAGAACACGUUCGACGGUGAGGGAUGAAAGCUGGGGGAGCAAACCGGAUUAGAUACCCGGGUAGUCCCAGCUGUAAACGAUGCAGACUCGAUGAUGCAUUGGCAUAAUAGCCAGUGCAGUGUCGCAGGGAAGCCGUUAAGUCUGCCGCCUGGGAAGUACGUACGCAAGUAUGAAACUUAAAGGAAUUGGCGGGG
rnacentral:rRNA from 1 species